AGCGAACGCUGGCGGCAGGCCUAACACAUGCAAGUCGAACGAACCUUUCGGGGUUAGUGGCGGACGGGUGAGUAACACGUGGGAACGUGCCUUUAGGUUCGGAAUAACUCAGGGAAACUUGUGCUAAUACCGAAUGUGCCCUUCGGGGGAAAGAUUAAUCGCCUUUAGAGCGGCCCGCGUCUGAUUAGCUAGUUGGUUGAGGUAAUGGCGCACCAAGGCGACGAUCAGUAGCUGGUCUGAGAGGAUGAUCAGCCACAUUGGGACUGAGACACGGCCCAAACUCCUACGGGAGGCAGCAGUGGGGAAUCUUGCGCAAUGGGCGAAAGCCUGACGCAGCCAUGCCGCGUGAAUGAUGAAGGUCUUAGGAUUGUAAAAUUCUUUCACCGGGGACGAUAAUGACGGUACCCGGAGAAGAAGCCCCGGCUAACUUCGUG
rnacentral:rRNA from 1 species